UACGGGGGGGCAAGCGUUAAUCGGAAUUACUGGGCGUAAAGCGUGCGCAGGCGGUUUCGUAAGUCUGUCGUGAAAUCCCCGGGCUUAACCUGGGAAUGGCGAUGGAGACUGCGAGGCUAGAGUUUGGCAGAGGGGGGUAGAAUUCCACGUGUAGCAGUGAAAUGCGUAGAGAUGUGGAGGAACACCGAUGGCGAAGGCAGCCCCCUGGGUCAAAACUGACGCUCAUGCACGAAAGCGUGGGGAGCAAACAGG
rnacentral:rRNA from 1 species